UGAGGCGCGCCGAGUUUGAUCCUGGCUCAGAUUGAACGCUGGCGGCAUGCUUUACACAUGCAAGUCGAACGGUAACAGGGAGCUUGCUCCGCUGACGAGUGGCGAACGGGUGAGUAAUGCAUCGGAACAUGCCCAGUCAUGGGGGAUAACUACGCGAAAGCGUAGCUAAUACCGCAUACGCCCUGAGGGGGAAAGUGGGGGACCGUAAGGCCUCACGCUAUUAGAGCGGCUGAUGUCGGAUUAGCUAGUUGGUGGGGUAAAGGCCUACCAAGGCGACGAUCCGUAGCUGGUCUGAGAGGACGACCAGCCACACUGGGACUGAGACACGGCCCAGACUCCUACGGGAGGCAGCAGUGGGGAAUUUUGGACAAUGGGCGCAAGCCUGAUCCAGCCAUGCCGCGUGAGUGAAGAAGGCCUUCGGGUUGUAAAGCUCUUUCAGAUGGAAAGAAAUCGGGUGGGUUAAUACCUUGCCUGGAUGA
rnacentral:rRNA from 1 species